rnacentral:tRNA from 1 species
GGGGUUGUGGCUCAGUGGUAGAGCACUCACCUUGCAUGUAUGAGGCACUGAGUUCAUUUCUCAGCACCA